rnacentral:rRNA from 1 species
GACGAACGCUGGCGGCGUGCUUAACACAUGCAAGUCGAACGCUGAAGCUUGGUGCUUGCACUGGGUGGAUGAGUGGCGAACGGGUGAGUAAUACGUGAGUAACCUGCCCUUGACUCUGGGAUAAGCCUGGGAAACUGGGUCUAAUACUGGAUACGACAUGUCACCGCAUGGUGGUGUGUGGAAAGGGUUUUACUGGUUUUGGAUGGGCUCACGGCCUAUCAGCUUGUUGGUGGGGUAAUGGCUCACCAAGGCGACGACGGGUAGCCGGCCUGAGAGGGUGACCGGCCACACUGGGACUGAGACACGGCCCAGACUCCUACGGGAGGCAGCAGGGGGGAAUAUUGCACAAUGGGCGGAAGCCUGAUGCAGCGACGCCGCGUGAGGGAUGACGGCCUUCGGGUUGUAAACCUCUUUCAGCACGGAAGAAGCGAAAGUGACGGUACGUGCAGAAGAAGCGCCGGCUAACUACGUG